rnacentral:rRNA from 2 species
ACUGGAAAGAUGGAGCAAUCUGUCACUUGAGGAUGGGCCUGCGGCGCAUUAGCUAGUUGGUGAGGUAACGGCUCACCAAGGCGACGAUGCGUAGCCGACCUGAGAGGGUGAUCGGCCACACUGGGACUGAGACACGGCCCAGACUCCUACGGGAGGCAGCAGUAGGGAAUCUUCCGCAAUGGGCGAAAGCCUGACGGAGCAAUGCCGCGUGAGUGAUGAAGGUUUUCGGAUCGUAAAGCUCUGUUGCCAGGGAAGAACGCUUAGGAGAGUAACUGCUCCUGAGGUGACGGUACCUGAGAAGAAAGCCCCGGCUAACUACGUGCCAGCAGCCGCGGUAAUACGUAGGGGGCAAGCGUUGUCCGGAAUUAUUGGGCGUAAAGCGCGCGCAGGCGGUCAUUUAAGUCUGGUGUUUAAUCCCGGGGCUCAACCCCGGAUCGCACUGGAAACUGGGUGACUUGAGUGCAGAAGAGGAGAGUGGAAUUCCACGUGUAGCGGUGAAAUGCGUAGAUAUGUGGAGGAACACCAGUGGCGAAGGCGACUCUCUGGGCUGUAACUGACGCUGAGGCGCGAAAGCGUGGGGAGCAAACAGGAUUAGAUACCCUGGUAGUCCACGCCGUAAACGAUGAGUGCUAGGUGUUAGGGGUUUCGAUACCCUUGGUGCCGAAGUUAACACAUUAAGCACUCCGCCUGGGGAGUACGGUCGCAAGACUGAAACUCAAAGGAAUUGACGGGGACCCGCACACGCAGUGGAGUAUGUGGUUUAAUUCGAAGCAACGCGAAGAACCUUACCAGGUCUUGACAUCCCUCUGACCGGUACAGAGAUGUACCUUUCCUUCGGGACAGAGGAGACAGGUGGUGCAUGGUUGUCGUCAGCUCGUGUCGUGAGAUGUUGGGUUAAGUCCCGCAACGAGCGCAACCCUUAUAUUUAGUUGCCAGCAUUUCGGAUGGGCACUCUAGAUAGACUGCCGGUGACAAACCGGAGGAAGGUGGGGAUGACGUCAAAUCAUCAUGCCCCUUAUGACCUGGGCUACACACGUACUACAAUGGCCGGUACAACGGGCUGCGAAACCGCGAGGUGGAGCCAAUCCCAACAAAGCCGGUCUCAGUUCGGAUUGCAGGCUGCAACUCGCCUGCAUGAAGUCGGAAUUGCUAGUAAUCGCG